GAUGAACGCUGGGGGCGUGCCUAAUACAUGCAAGUCGAGCGAACGGACGAGAAGCUUGCUUCUCUGAUGUUAGCGGCGGACGGGUGAGUAACACGUGGAUAACCUACCUAUAAGACUGGGAUAACUUCGGGAAACCGGAGCUCAUACCGGAUAAUAUUUUGAACCGCAUGGUUCAAAAGUGAAAGACGGUCUUGCUGUCACUUAUAGAUGGAUCCGCGCUGCAUUAGCUAGUUGGUAAGGUAACGGCUUACCAAGGCAACGAUGCAUAGCCGACCUGAGAGGGUGAUCGGCCACACUGGAACUGAGACACGGUCCAGACUCCGACGGGAGGCAGCAGUAGGGAAUCUUCCGCAAUGGGCGAAAGCCUGACGGAGCAACGCCGCGUGAGUGAUGAAGGUCUUCGGAUCGUAAAACUCUGUUAUUAGGGAAGAACAUAUGUGUAAGUAACUGUGCACAUCUUGACGGUACCUAAUCAGAAAGCCACGGCUAACUACGUG
rnacentral:rRNA from 1 species